rnacentral:rRNA from 1 species
AACGAACGCUGGCGGCAGGCCUAACACAUGCAAGUCGAACGCGCGUAGCAAUACGCGAGUGGCGCACGGGUGAGUAACACGUGGGAACCAACCCAGAGGUUCGGAAUAACCGCGGGAAACUGCGGCUAAUACCGGAUAUCCCCCAAGGGGGAAGAUUUAUCGCCUCUGGACGGGCCCGCGUCCGAUUAGCUAGUUGGUGAGGUAAUGGCUCACCAAGGCGACGAUCGGUAGCUGGUCUGAGAGGACGACCAGCCACACUGGAACUGAGACACGGUCCAGACUCCUACGGGAGGCAGCAGUGGGGAAUAUUGGGCAAUGGAGGCGAACUCUGACCCAGCCAUGCCGCGUGGGUGACGAAGGUCUUCGGAUUGUAAAGCCCUUUCGGCGGGACGAUGAUGACGGUACCCGCAGAAGAAGCCCCGGCUAACUUCGUGCCAGCCGCCGCCGUAAU